rnacentral:rRNA from 1 species
AUUGAACGCUAGCGGGAUGCCUUACACAUGCAAGUCGAACGGCAGCACGGACUUCGGUCUGGUGGCGAGUGGCGAACGGGUGAGUAAUGUAUCGGAACGUGCCCAGUAGCGGGGGAUAACUACGCGAAAGCGUAGCUAAUACCGCAUACGCCCUAGGGGGAAAGCAGGGGAUCGCAAGACCUUGCACUAUUGGAGCGGCCGAUAUCGGAUUAGCUAGUUGGUGAGGUAAUGGCUCACCAAGGCCGCGAUCCGUAGCUGGUUUGAGAGGACGACCAGCCACACUGGGACUGAGACACGGCCCAGACUCCUACGGGAGGCAGCAGUGGGGAAUUUUGGACAAUGGGGGAAACCCUGAUCCAGCCAUCCCGCGUGUGCGAUGAAGGCCUUCGGGUUGUAAAGCACUUUUGGCAGGAAAGAAACGGCGCGUGCUAAUACCAUGCGCAACUGACGGUACCUGCAGAAUAAGCACCGGCUAACUACGUGCCAGCCGCCGCCGUAA